CACGGAGGGUGCAAGCGUUAUCCGGAUUCACUGGGUUUAAAGGGUGCGUAGGUGGCUAUAUAAGUCAGUGGUGAAAGCCCCGCGGCUCAACCGUGGAAUUGCCAUUGAAACUGCAUAGCUUGAGUACAGUUGAAGUGGGCGGAAUACAUCAUGUAGCGGUGAAAUGCUUAGAUAUGAUGUAGAACACCGAUUGCGAAGGCAGCUCACUAAGCUGUAACUGACACUGAGGCACGAAAAGCGUGGGUAGCGAACAGG
rnacentral:rRNA from 1 species